GUCAGCGCCCUGUGGGCAGCAGCGAUUCCACGCGAACGAAAGGGAAAAAUUCCUGGGAAGCGUGUCUUCUUAGGAGGACACACCGGAUGCAAGACUGAUAAACCGACUUAAACCAAGUAUUAGCAGGACUUUCAGCCUGGCUUUUGGAGAAGGACCACAUUAAUAAUCACGGGGCUUGAAAAGA